rnacentral:rRNA from 1 species
GCGCGAAACCUUUACACUGCACGACAGCGAUAAGGGGACUCCGAGUGCGAGGGCAUACAGUCCUCGCUUUUCUGUACCGUAGGUGGUACAGGAACAAGUGCUGGGCAAGACCGGUGCCAGCCGCCGCGGUAAUACCGGCAGCACGAGUGAUGGCCGAUAUUAUUGGGCCUAAAGCGUCCGUAGCUGGCCGGACAAGUCCGUUGGGAAAUCCACCCGCUUAACGGGUGGGCGUCCAGCGGAAACUGUCCGGCUUGGAGCCGGAAGACCUGAGGGGUACGUCCGGGGUAGGAGUGAAAUCCCGUAAUCCUGGACGGACCGCCGGUGGCGAAAGCGCCUCAGGAGGACGGACUCGACAGUGAGGGACGAAAGCCAGGGUCUCGAACCGGAUUAGAUACCCGGGUAGUCCUGGCUGUAAACGAUGUCCGCUAGGUGUGGGCAGGCUACGAGCCUGCGCUGUGCCGUAGGGAAGCCGUGAAGCGGACCGCCUGGGAAGUACGUCUGCAAGGAUGAAACUUAAAGGAAUUGGCGGGGGAGCACUACAACCGGAGGAGCCUGCGGUUUAAUUGGACUCAACGCCGGACAUCUCACCAGCACCGACAGUAGCUGUGAAGGUCAGUCUGAUGCGCUUACUGGAGCUACUGAGAGGAGGUGCAUGGCCGCCGUCAGCUCGUACCGUGAGGCGUCCUGUUAAGUCAGGCAACGAGCGAGACCCGCACUCCUAGUUGCCAGCAAUACCCUUGUGGUAGUUGGGUACACUAGGAGGACUGCCGCUGCCAAAGCGGAGGAAGGAACGGGCAACGGUAGGUCAGUAUGCCCCGAAUGUGCUGGGCAACACGCGGGCUACAAUGGCCGGGACAAUGGGAUGCCAUCUCGAGAGAGCGCUAAUCCCCUAAACCCGGUCGUAGUUCGGAUUGAGGGCUGAAACUCGCCCUCAUGAAGCUGGAUUCGGUAGUAGUCGCGUGUCACUAGCGCGCGGCGAAUACGUCCCUGCUCCUCCCACACACCGCCCGUCAA